rnacentral:sRNA from 1 species
ACUGGGCGUGGUGGCGCACACCUGUAAUCCCAGUGGCUUGGGAGUCUGAGGCUAGAGGAUCGCAAGUUCAAAGCCAGCCUCAGCAACUUGGCAAGGCGCUUAGCAACUCAGUGAGACCCUGUCUCUA